UACGUAGGGGGCAAGCGUUGUCCGGAUUUAUUGGGCGUAAAGAGCGUGUAGGCGGCCAAGCAGGUCAGCUGUGAAAACUCGAGGCUCAACCUCGAGACGUCGGUUGAAACCACCUGGCUAGAGUCCGGAAGAGGAGUGUGGAAUUCCUGGUGUAGCGGUGGAAUGCGCAGAUAUCAGGAGGAACACCAAUAGCGAAGGCAGCUCGCUGGGACGUUACUGACACUGAGGCGCGAAAGCGUGGGGAGCGAACAGG
rnacentral:rRNA from 1 species